GGUUGUAGGGCCGGCAUACGUGAUUCUGGAGUAGGCAGAGGAAGUGAGCUGGAAAGCUCCGCCACAGCGGGUGAUAGCCCCGUACUCGAAACCGAAAAGGACGCAGCCGGUACCUGAGUACUGCGAGGCACGUGGAACCUCGUGGGAAUCUAGGGGGACCAUCCUCUAAGGCUAAGUACUCCUCAGCGACCGAUAGUGAACUAGUACCGUGAGGGAAAGGUGAAAAGAACCCCUGUUAGGGGAGUGAAAUAGAAUCUGAAACCUGUUGCCUACAAGCUGCGAGAGCUGCUUCGGCAGUGAUCGCGUGCCUUUUGUAUAAUGAGUCAGCGAGUUACUCUACCGUGCGAGGUUAAGCGAAAGCGUAGCCGUAGUGAAAGCGAGGCUUAAUAGGCCGACUAGUACGUUGGAGUAGACCCGAAACCGGGUGAUCUAUCCAUGAGCAGGUUGAAGCAAGGGUAAAGCCUUGUGGAGGACCGAACCAGUUCUGGCUGAAAACGUUUCGGAUGACUUGUGGAUAGGGGUGAAAGGCCAAUCAAACCCGGUGAUAGCUGGUUCUCCCCGAAAUAUAUUGAGGUAUAGCCUCGGGAAUUGAUUAGCGGAGGUAAAGCACUGACAGAGCUAGGGGUCCUACCAGAUUACCAAACUCUAUCAAACUCAGAAUGCCGCUUAAUCGUAUCCCGGGAGUCAGACGGCGGGUGCGAAGGUUCGUCGUCAAAAGGGAAACAGCCCAGACCAACAGCUAAGGUCUCCAAAUCCAUGCUCAGUGGUGAAGGUAGUGGAACCGUUUAGACAGCCAGGACGUUGGCUUAGAAGCAGCCAUCGUUUAAAGAAAGCGUAAUAGCUCACUGGUCUAAUGGCUCUGCGCCGAAAAUGUAACGGGGCUAAGCAUGGUACCGAAGCUUUGGCAAUCUCCUUUGGAGAUUGGGUAGGGGAGCGUUCGCUGCGGGCUGAAGGUGUGCCGGAAGGCAUGCUGGACUGCAGUGAAGUGAUUAUGCUGACAUGAGUAACGAUAAAAUAUGUGAAAAACAUAUUCGCCGAAAACCCGAGGUUUCCUGGGUAAAGGUAAUCUUCCCAGGGUUAGUCGGAUCCUAAGGUGAGGGUGAAAGCCGUAACCGAUGGAAAACAGGUUAAUAUUCCUGUACUUGUUGUGUAGCGCGAUGGAGGGACGCAGGAAGAUAGGCGGGCCGGGUGUUGGAUAUCCCGGUGCAAGCGUGUAGGAAUAUCCGGUAGGCAAAUCCGCCGGACGAAUCUGAGACGCGAGUCCGUGGGCGCAAGCCCUGAAGCCGUUGAGUCUAUGCUGCCUAGAAAAGCUCCUAAGUUUAUCCACAGCAAUCCGUACCGCAAACCAACUCAGGUGGGUGGGAUGAACAAUCCAAGGCGCUCGAGAGAACUCUGGCCAAGGAACUCGGCAAAUUGACCCCGUAACUUCGGAAUAAGGGGUGCUCCCCAUGGUGAGACAAAUACUUGUUCAGCCCCGGGGAGCCGCAGAGAAAUGGUGGUGGCGACUGUUUACUAAAAACAUAGGUCUGUGCGAAGUCCUAAAGACGACGUAUACGGACUGACGCCUGCCCGGUGCUGGAAGGUUAAAAGGAGGGGUCAGCGCAAGCAAAGCUCCGAAUUGAAGCCCCAGUAAACGGCGGCCGUAACUAUAACGGUCCUAAGGUAGCGAAAUUCCUUGUCGGGUAAGUUCCGACCUGCACGAAUGGCGUAACGAUCUCCACACUGUCUCGGCCAGAGACUCGGUGAAAUUGCAGUCGCGGUGAAAAUUCCGUGUACCCGCAGAAAGACGGAAAGACCCUGUGCACCUUUACUAUAGCUUGACAUUGGAUUUUGGGCCUGCAUGUGUAGGAUAGGUGGGAGGCUGUGAACCCUGUACGCCAGUAUGGGGGGAGCCAUCCUUGAAAUACCACCCUUGCAUGUUUAAGAUCCUAACUUCUUCCGGUUAUCCCGGAGAAAGACAGUGUCUGGCGGGUAGUUUGACUGGGGCGGUCGCCUCCUAAAGUGUAACGGAGGCAUGCAAAGGUUCCCUCAGCCUGAUCGGAAACCAGGCGCUGAGUGCAAACGCAUAAGGGAGCUUGACUGUAAGAGAGACAUCUCGAACAGGAACGAAAGUUGGCGUUAGUGAUCCGGUGGUCCCGAAUGGAAGGGCCAUCGCUCAUUGGAUAAAAGGUACGCCGGGGAUAACAGGCUGAUCGCAUCCAAGAGUUCACAUCGACGAUGC
rnacentral:rRNA from 1 species